UAGGUUCCAGGUCACAGUCUCCCCUCCCUCUUUUCCGUCGGUCAUUCGCGUUAUAAAGAAGGCAACCCCCAACCUGCCCUCCCCGCCAACUACGCUCGAAACCUCGCAUCCAGAAUUAGGAUCUGGCUUCAAUCUAGGAAUGGAGCAAAAGGUAUGGUGCUGUCCACCACCGUGCAAACUAUGUCCACCACCGUGUCCACCAUCGUGUCGACCACCGUGUCGACCACAAAUUUGUCAGGUUUGGUGCUGGGUGCUCUGCCCUGGGGGGUGCCAAGGAGGGUCUCGGUGUGGCACUUGUGGAAGGAACUGCGGAUGUGUGCCUGGUUCUACACGAAUGCCCUCUGGUGGAACCUAACGUGGAGGAUGCUAGUUGAUUCUUAAGGAGGAUCCAUCAACUUCAUGUACCGUCGUGUGAUCUUGUGUAUGCGUGUUUUUCCUUUGCCAAAAAAUAAUAACAAUAAUAAGGGUGAAGGACGUUAGAUUUAUAUAUGGGAGAAUAAUGUGGAAAUAAAUUGUUAUUUCAGUGCAAUAUUUUCUUUUGUAAUAUUGUGUGAAGGAAAUAUUUUAUGUUUUAUAAUGUGAAUUUUUUUUCUUAGUA